UACAGAGGGGGCAAGCGUUAUUCGGAAUUAUUGGGCGUAAAGGGCGCGUAGGCGGCCUGGCAAGUGGAAGGUGAAAUCCCUCGGCUUAACCGAGGAACUGCCCUCCAAACUGCUUGGCUUGAGUCCGGGAGAGGUGAGUGGAAUUCCCAGUGUAGCGGUGAAAUGCGUAGAGAUCGGGAGGAACAUCAGUUGCGAAGGCGGCUCUCUGGACCAGCACUGACACUGAGGCACGAAAGCGUGGGGAGCAAACAGG
rnacentral:rRNA from 1 species